UAACGUCCGUCGUGAAGAGGGAAACAACCCAGACCGCCAGCUAAGGUCCCAAAGUCAUGGUUAAGUGGGAAACGAUGUGGGAAGGCCCAGACAGCCAGGAUGUUGGCUUAGAAGCAGCCAUCAUUUAAAGAAAGCGUAAUAGCUCACUGGUCGAGUCGGCCUGCGCGGAAGAUGUAACGGGGCUAAACCAUGCACCGAAGCUGCGGCAGCGACGCUUAUGCGUUGUUGGGUAGGGGAGCGUUCUGUAAGCCUGUGAAGGUGUGCUGUGAGGCAUGCUGGAGGUAUCAGAAGUGCGAAUGCUGACAUAAGUAACGAUAAAGCGGGUGAAAAGCCCGCUCGCCGGAAGACCAAGGGUUCCUGUCCAACGUUAAUCGGGGCAGGGUGAGUCGACCCCUAAGGCGAGGCCGAAAGGCGUAGUCGAUGGGAAACAGGUUAAUAUUCCUGUACUUGGUGUUACUGCGAAGGGGGGACGGAGAAGGCUAUGUUGGCCGGGCGACGGUUGUCCCGGUUUAAGCGUGUAGGCUGGUUUUCCAGGCAAAUCCGGAAAAUCAAGGCUGAGGCGUGAUGACGAGGCACUACGGUGCUGAAGCAACAAAUGCCCUGCUUCCAGGAAAAGCCUCUAAGCAUCAGGUAACAUCAAAUCGUACCCCAAACCGACACAGGUGGUCAGGUAGAGAAUACCAAGGCGCUUGAGAGAACUCGGGUGAAGGAACUAGGCAAAAUGGUGCCGUAACUUCGGGAGAAGGCACGCUGAUAUGUAGGUGAAGUCCCUUGCGGAUGGAGCUGAAAUCAGUCGAAGAUACCAGCUGGCUGCAACUGUUUAUUAAAAACACAGCACUGUGCAAACACGAAAGUGGACGUAUACGGUGUGACGCCUGCCCGGUGCCGGAAGGUUAAUUGAUGGGGUUAGCGCAAGCGAAGCUCUUGAUCGAAGCCCCGGUAAACGGCGGCCGUAACUAUAACGGUCCUAAGGUAGCGAAAUUCCUUGUCGGGUAAGUUCCGACCUGCACGAAUGGCGUAAUGAUGGCCAGGCUGUCUCCACCCGAGACUCAGUGAAAUUGAACUCGCUGUGAAGAUGCAGUGUACCCGCGGCAAGACGGAAAGACCCCGUGAACCUUUACUAUAGCUUGACACUGAACAUUGAGCCUUGAUGUGUAGGAUAGGUGGGAGGCUUGGAAGUGUGGACGCCAGUCUGCAUGGAGCCGACCUUGAAAUACCACCCUUUAAUGUUUGAUGUUCUAACGUUGACCCGUAAUCCGGGUUGCGGACAGUGUCUGGUGGGUAGUUUGACUGGGGCGGUCUCCUCCUAAAGAGUAACGGAGGAGCACGAAGGUUGGCUAAUCCUGGUCGGACAUCAGGAGGUUAGUGCAAUGGCAUAAGCCAGCUUGACUGCGAGCGUGACGGCGCGAGCAGGUGCGAAAGCAGGUCAUAGUGAUCCGGUGGUUCUGAAUGGAAGGGCCAUCGCUCAACGGAUAAAAGGUACUCCGGGGAUAACAGGCUGAUACCGCCCAAGAGUUCAUAUCGACGGCGGUGUUUGGCACCUCGAUGUCGGCUCAUCACAUCCUGGGGCUGAAGUAGGUCCCAAGGGUAUGGCUGUUCGCCAUUUAAAGUGGUACGCGAGCUGGGUUUAGAACGUCGUGAGACAGUUCGGUCCCUAUCUGCCGUGGGCGCUGGAGAACUGAGGGGGGCUGCUCCUAGUACGAGAGGACCGGAGUGGACGCAUCACUGGUGUUCGGGUUGUCAUGCCAAUGGCACUGCCCGGUAGCUAAAUGCGGAAGAGAUAAGUGCUGAAAGCAUCUAAGCACGAAACUUGCC
rnacentral:rRNA from 1 species